UACGAAGGGUGCAAGCGUUAAUCGGAAUUACUGGGCGUAAAGCGUGCGUAGACGGCUUGUUAAGUCUGCUGUGAAAGCCCUGGGCUCAACCUGGGAACUGCAGUGGAUACUGGCAAGCUAGAGUGCGGUAGAGGAUGGUGGAAUUCCCGGUGUAGCGGUGAAAUGCGUAGAGAUCGGGAGGAACAUCAGUGGCGAAGGCGGCCAUCUGGACCAGCACUGACGUUGAGGCACGAAAGCGUGGGGAGCAAACAGG
rnacentral:rRNA from 1 species